rnacentral:rRNA from 1 species
UACGUAGGGGGCAAGCGUUGUCCGGAAUCAUUGGGCGUAAAGAGUGCGUAGGCGGCUAGAUAAGUCCGGUGUGAAAGUCACAGGCUCAACCUGUGAAUGCCGCUGGAAACUGUCUGGCUAGAGUCCGGAAGGGGCGAGUGGAAUUCCUGGUGUAGCGGUGAAAUGCGCAGAUAUCAGGAGGAACACCAAUGGCGAAGGCAGCUCGCUGGGACGGUACUGACGCUGAGGCGCGAAAGCGUGGGGAGCAAACAGG